rnacentral:rRNA from 1 species
GGCCUUAGGGUUGUAAGUUCUUUCAGCGAGGAAGAUAAUGACGGGACUCGCAGAACAAACCCCGGCUAACUCCGUGCCAGCAGCCGCGGUAAUACGGAGGGGGCUAGCGUUGUUCGGAAUUACUGGGCGUAAAGCGCACGUAUGCUGACUGAUCAGUCAGGGGUGAAAUCCCGGGGCUCAACCCCGGAACUGCCUUUGAUACUGUCAGUCUGGAGAUCGAGAGAGGUGAGUGGAAUUCCGAGUGUAGAGGUGAAAUUCGAAGAUAUUCGGAGGAACACCAGUGGCGAAGGCGGCUCACUGGCUCGAUACUGACGCUAAGGUGCGAAAGCGUGGGGAGCAAACAGGAUUAGAUACCCUGGUAGUCCACGCCGUAAACUAUGAGAGCUAGUCGUCGGGCAGCAUGCUGUUCGGUGACGCAGUUAACGCAUUAAGCUCUCCGCCUGGGGAGUACGGCCGCACGGUUAAAACUCA